rnacentral:rRNA from 1 species
AUUGAACGCUGGCGGCAGGCCUAACACAUGCAAGUCGAGCGGAUGAAGGGAGCUUGCUCCUGGAUUCAGCGGCGGACGGGUGGGUAAUGCCUAGGAAUCUGCCUGGUAGUGGGGGAUAACGUCCGGAAACGGGCGCUAAUACCGCAUACGUCCUGAGGGAGAAAGUGGGGGAUCUUCGGACCUCACGCUAUCAGAUGAGCCUAGGUCGGAUUAGCUAGUUGGUGGGGUAAAGGCCUACCAAGGCGACGAUCCGUAACUGGUCUGAGAGGAUGAUCAGUCACACUGGAACUGAGACACGGUCCAGACUCCUACGGGAGGCAGCAGUGGGGAAUAUUGGACAAAGGGCGAAAGCCUGAUCCAGCCAUGCCGCGUGUGUGAAGAAGGUCUUCGGAUUGUAAAGCACUUUAAGUUGGGAGGAAGGGCAGUAAGUUAAUACCUUGCUGUUUUGACGUUACCAACAGAAUAAGCACCGGCUAACUUCGUG